CCGUCUUGGGGUUGUACAUCGCCCGGUGGGUUCGACUCCACUUUC
rnacentral:tRNA from 16 species